AUUGAACGCUGGAGGCAGGCCUAACACAUGCAAGUCGAGCGGAGCGGCGGACGGGUGAGUAAUGCCUAGGAAUCUGCCUGGUAGUGGGGGAUAACGUCCGGAAACGGGCGCUCAUACCGCAUACUAUCAGAUGAGCCUAGGUCGGAUUAUUGAGUUGGUGGGGUAAAGGCCUACCAAGGCGACGAUCCGUAACUGGUCUGAGAGGCUGAUCAGUCACACUGGAACUGAGACACGGGCCAGACUCCUACGGGAGGCAGCAGUGGGGAGUAUUGGACAAUGGGCGAAAGCCUGAUCCAGCCAUGCCGCGUGUGUGAAGAAGGGCUUCGGAGUGUAAAGCAAUGUAAGUUGGGAGGCGUUACCAACAGAAUAAGCACCGGCUAACUUCGUGCCAGCAGCCGCGGUAAUUC
rnacentral:rRNA from 1 species